CAAAGUUCUAUGUGAGCCCCGCCCACUUUUAGUCUGAUUUAAGGAUGAGACUCAGCCUCAACCAGCAGAACUUCAGCUUCAGCUGCUCUGUCUGGUCCUGCUCCAGACCGUCUUCAGAGGAAACAACUUCUCCCAGAAGUAGGGAUGAGUACCGUGCCCCGGUAUUGAAGCAGCCCCGGGGCCACGUUCUUCAAGACCGCAGUAUCGUUAAGAUCUGACCUGAACGGUUCUGCUAUCAACGUUUAGCUUCAAGUCAACGACAACAUGCCGUACGUAGCACCGGUUGAAGUUGUUGGUGGACAAGGAGGAGCCCCGUUCAGUUUUGACGGUGCACAAAAUGGAGCUGUGCUUUAACGUCUGGAUGUGUGGG